AUACGGAGGGUCCAAGCGUUAUCCGGAAUCAUUGGGUUUAAAUGGUCCGUAGGCGGGCAAUUAAGUCAGAGGUGAAAUCCCACAGCUCAACUGUGGAACUGCCUUUGAUACUGGUUGUCUCGAAUUAUAGUGAAGUAGAUAGAAUAUGUAGUGUAGCGGUGAAAUGCUUAGAUAUUACAUAGAAUACCGAUUGCGAAGGCAGUCUACUAACUGUAUAUUGACGCUGAUGGACGAAAGCGUGGGGAGCGAACAGGAUUAGAAACCCUAGUAGUCC
rnacentral:rRNA from 1 species